rnacentral:rRNA from 1 species
ACUACCCGCUGAACUUAAGCAUAUCAAUAAGCGGAGGAAAAGAAACCAACAGGGAUUGCCUUAGUAACGGCGAGUGAAGCGCAAAAGCUCAAAUUUGAAAUCUAGCACUUUCAGUGUUCGAGUUGUAAUUUGAAGAAGGUAACUUUCGAGUUGGCUCUUGUCUAUGUUCCUUGGAACAGGACGUCACAGAGGGUGAGAAUCCCGUGCGAUGAGAUGCCCAAUUCUUAGUAAAGUGCUUUCGAAGAGUCGAGUUGUUUGGGAAUGCAGCUCUAAGUGGGUGGUAAAUUCCAUCUAAAGCUAAAUAUUGGCGAGAGACCGAUAGCGAACAAGUACAGUGAUGGAAAGAUGAAAAGAACUUUGAAAAGAGAGUG